UACGUAGGGGGCUAGCGUUGUCCGGAUUUACUGGGCGUAAAGAGCGUGUAGGCGGCCACGCAGGUCCGUUGUGAAAACUCGAGGCUCAACCUCGAGACGCCGGUGGAAACCAUCAGGCUAGAGUCCGGAAGAGGAGAGUGGAAUUCCUGGUGUAGCGGUGAAAUGCGCAGAUAUCAGGAAGAACACCCGUGGCUAAGGCGGCUCUCUAGUACGGUACUGACGCUGAGACGCGAAAGCGUGGGGAGCGAACAGG
rnacentral:rRNA from 1 species